rnacentral:rRNA from 1 species
UACGUAGGGGCCGAGCGUUGUCCGGAGUUAUUGGGCGUAAAGCGCGCGCAGGCGGCUUCGCGCGUCCGACGUGAAAGCCCCCGGCUCAACCGGGGAGGGUCGUUGGGUACGGCGGAGCUUGAGGGCGGUAGAGGUUGGUGGAAUUCCCGGUGUAGUGGUGAAAUGCGUAGAGAUCGGGAGGAACACCUGUGGCGAAGGCGGCCAACUGGGCCGACCCUGACGCUGAGGAGCGAAGGCCAGGGGAGCAAACGGG